GCAGGCAGAAAAUUGUUUUUUUAAAUAAACAUAGGAGCAGCUCUCCUGUGAGGAAAGGUAGAGGGAACUGGGCUUGUUUAGAUUGGAGAAGAGAAGGCUCUGGGGAGACCUCAUUGUGGCCUUCCAGUACUUGAAGGGAGCGUAUAAACAGGAGAGGAAAUGGCUGUUUAUGAAGGUGGACGGUGAUAAGAGGAGGGGGAAUGAUGUUAAACUGAGACAGAAGAGGUUUAGGUUGGAUAUGAGGAGGAAGUUUUUCCCCCAGAGGGUGGUGACGCACUGAACAGGUUGCCCAAGGAGGCUGUGGAUGCCCCAUCCCUGCAGGCAUUCAAGGCCAGGCUGGAUGUGGCUCUGGGCAGCCUGGGCUGCUGGUUGGCGACCCUGCACAUAGCAGGGGGUUGGAACUGGAUGAGCAUUGUGGUCCUUUUCAACCCAGGCCAUUCUGUGAUCUAUGAUUCUAUGAAAUAAGGCUCUAAAGAAGCUGAAACUGGCCAAGUUAUUAAGUGGUGCUCAGGGAGAUGAUUAUAUUCACUUCAAAAUACUCUAUGCUCCAAUGUACUGAAAGUGUAUAUACUUAAGGAUUAAUGGAAUUUACUUUUGUCUUUCUUAAAGAAGAAAAAAAGGC
ensembl:lncRNA